UCUCUCCCCAGGUAAGCUCUCAAAGCCACAACUCCACCGACGACGAGACGGCGGCGACGCCUCCGCCGCUGCUGGCUCCGGUCGACGCGCAUGCGCCGCCUCCGCCCGAGGCGCCGCCGCCCGCCAGUCUGCACUUCCGAAGAGAUUGACGAGGCGUGGCGAUGCCGACGCGACGCAAGGCCUCUCACGCUCGACACUACGACUCUGCCGACGCCCUGCCGUCGCCUUCUUCGUUGGCUCUGCUCCGCACACAGCGAUUUGCGCGACGAGCUGCUCCGCCCAUUGCGGCACCAUCAGAACGCAUCAGAACUCCAGAAUCCGCUUUCCCGGUCUGUUACUGUCUCCUUUCGUUUCUUACUGAAGAAAUUGUAUCCUGAAAACCUUGGCGUCGUGCGGUGAAUUUUUGGAUCUGUGUCGCGACAAACUUUUGCGGUUUGUUCUGUGGUUAUCCAGCGGAUCUGUUCCUGGGCCAUUUUUCCUCAACAGGGGUUACAGAAUGCCAUUGCGGUGGCAUGUCCGCAAUUGCCAAUCAGACCGUGUCGUGCGAGAAUGUUUUGCCCAGAAGCAUGGGCGGCGAUUUAGUCUUCGGAUUGAUAGCCAUUAAGUCCUAUGUUUCUGUUUUUUUUAAGUGUUAGAAUAUGUGUGUUUUUAACUGUGUGCAUCAUAUUUUUACAUAGGUCGGGGAUAGGCUCAGUUUGUUUUAUCAUCUUGAUGUAACUGACUGAGUUUAGUAAAGCUUCUAUUAUCUAAAAAAUGAUUAUAAUUCUUCACUAAUAGGUUUGAGAAGAAGAAGACCCAACAGAAGGGUAUACUUCCGAUGGGGGACGGCCUGGUCAGUGUCAAAAAUUAAACAAAUUGUUUAAUGUAUUUAACUACUUGAUCUCAAGUAUAUGGUGAGCAUCUGGUAUAUAGCUCUGUUCCAAAAUAACUUCAUAUUUCUAGUUUAAAUUUCAACUGUAAAGUUCAAUUUUUUAAGGGAUGGAAGAACACAGGAAGUAUUUGUUACUGUAUAUAUGUAUGAUCGAUGCAAGCAAAAAGAGCACUAAAAUUGUUACACUUGUUGAGAUGUGCUUCUAUGCUGGCUUUUCUGUAUGCCUGUAAGAACACUCCGCUUAUCUUAUGUGUGACACAAACUAAUUAACUAUUCUUGGAGCUCCCUUUGUUAAAAGAAAAAGGUUAGUUUAAAAAAUUUUAGUUUUGAAAAAACAAAUUGGUAAACUAGUUAACAGUACUUCUGUAGUUGGUGUCAAAAUUCUGUCCAAGCAACGAAUGCAUAGCUGAAGAAGGGUUAAAGCCAUGAAUAUGAAUAUAAGCUGUAUAAAGUAUAAACUGGGACCUUAGAUGGGGACUUGGGGAGUUCCUGUUCCAUACGAGAAGUAUAAAGACAAGAUUCCAUACGAAGGAAUCUUCUUGUGCUGCAUUAUCUGAUGAGUAUUCCUUGUUUUCUUUUCAUUAUUUUCAGCUGCUGUAUGUUCGAUCUGAUGCACUUAAUGCAGGAGAGCCGAAUUUGGAAGCUUUACAAGGAAGAGUUACUAGCAGCUUAUGUUGCUGUGAUGAAAACUUAAGUUGAUCUUGCUCAUCCCCUCGCCCACCAGAAUAAGGCCAUUCAUUCUUCUGACCUAAACAAAGUGCCAAAGCAAAGAGAUCUUCACAAUUUUUUGUUAACUUGUGAUGGUUACAUAAUACUGAAGAAGUAUAAUGUGUCAGGACAAUUUGCAGGCAGCUAAGAUGAAGGGAGUUCAAAUGCUGAAGCUGAUGUUGAAGACAAGAAAGCUGCUGACCAGCUAAGGGUGGAGACCCCUGCUUAUAUUGAAAAGUGAAUAAAGGUACUAGCUAGCAGGCUGGCGAUACCAUCUCAAUAUAAGGAAUCUCGUAACAGUAGCAGCAAAAGCUCGUUAGUUUCAUUUUCACUAUCUUAUCCAGCUGAGAGGUUCAGAAAAGAAACAAAAGAAACAAUCUGGUGGUUCAAAAUUAAAGACCAUGGAGGCGGAUGUUUCAGUUGAAAGUUGGAUAUUAGGGUGGGCGCCUUAUCAGAAAAGCAGAAAAGUAUAUAGAUGCUGUUUUCUCACUUCAUGUUCAGGUUAGAGAGGGCCGUGAACAGUGGCAGUAGCCUUACAGGAUGCAUAUGCUUCCCCCCUGAUAAAAUGCAGUUGGCUUAACUGGAAAGUGUACGUCUGUUCUCAGCUGCCUGAAUUCUGAACUAGUGGCGCUACACCGUACAAAAUCAAAGGAGGACCAUACAAUGGACAGUUGCAACAAUCUUAGGCAAUUUUUUGGCGAAGAAGACAUGUGUUGGCAGAUGGUAAAUUCAAGUCUCUUAUAGAGCGGGGUAGGGAAUACAAUAGAUGAAUUUUUUCUCCUGACGAUAUGGCAAGGACCGUUUGUUUGUAACCAAAUUUAUGGAUAUGUUCGUAUAUAUUAAUUAGUUUCCGUUUGGAAAUAUUCAAAGU